AUGCUGACGGCCAUACGGCUCCAUCCGACCCGUCUUGAAACACGGACCAAGGAGUCUAACAUGUGCGCGAGUCUCCGGGUGAUCGAAACCCGUGGGCACAAUGAAAGUAAAGAUCGUCCUAGACGAUUGGGGUGAGAAGCGAACGCCCCGGCGUUCGCGGCAUCAUCGACCGACCUAUUCUGCUCUCAGAGAGGUUUGAGUAAGAGCGUAUCUGUUGGGACCCGAAA